rnacentral:rRNA from 1 species
GAGAACAGUGUACGACAGAGCUGGGUAAAGCGGAGGGGGCGGGUGUUAUUCGGAUUUACGGGGCGGAGAGCGAGGGGCGGUGUUUGGGUAAGUUGGGGGUGAAAUCUCUUGGCUGAACUGGGAGGGGACGCUCAAGACUGCUCGGCUUGAGGUCGAGAGAGGGGUGCAGAAUUCCCGGUGUAGUGGUGGAAUGCGUAGAUAUCGGGAGGAAUACCAGUGGCGAAAGCGGCGCCCUGGCUCGCACCUGACACUGAGGCGCGAAAGCGUGGGGAGCGAACGGGAUUAGAUACCCCAGUAGUC